GUGUUCGCUCCGGAAGCACAUGUCCUAAUAUUGGAACAAUGCAGAGAAGGUUAGCAUGACUCCUGGGUAAGGAUGACAUGCAAAUUGAUUAAGUGUUUCAUUUUUUU
ensembl:snRNA U6 U6 spliceosomal RNA